rnacentral:lncRNA from 1 species
UGUGCAGAGGUCCACACUAUGUAUGCUUCGCCUGCACAACGCUAUCGCACCCUACAGCCCUCAGCCCUCCCCGGUCAAUGCACCUUCCCAUUUAAUUUCUUCGUCACAUUUUCUUUGUAUAUUUAGCCGGCCUUAUUCACGCAAUCUCUGAACCAUUUUUUGCCCAGAAUAUUUGAUAAUAUCGCCGUCUGGAUUUUUUUCUGUUGGGUUUGGCGUUGUUUCAGUACACUGCAACUGGCUACUGAGUCAGAUUUUUCGAGUUAGUAUGUGGUGUACACUUUGAUCUUUACUUGCCUUGAAAGUUCACUUCGCGGGGGUUUAUGGGUCAGAACCUUAAUGUUGCCCAAACAUGCCGCUGUAUUGCGUGCGCAUGCGUUGAAACAACGCCCAGCCGGACGGCGAUUAUGUUUUACUGCACAGCGGUUCGGGGAAUAUGCCAUGCACUAUCCUAUCGCAAUAUGCUUUUUAUUUCCACUCGAGUAGAGACUAGUCUUCGCGCUGGGUAUGUGUAGUGCUGUACGCAAAGCUUCCCUGCAUUUGAAAUGGUCGCUUUGGUGGUGGAUGCAUUCUCCACAGCCCCGAUUGUCACCUUUAGGCUUUAAUCAAGUCGCGUUUCCCUAAGCGUGCUGUCUAAAAAAAAACUGAGACCAGGCGACCUAGAAGUGACUGCGCACAGCCAUCUACUGUACAUGUACAUGUUAUGUUGGGCGUAGGUCGUGAUUCGUCACAGAAGUGCUGAGAACUGAGCGCUGUUGUAAAUUCAAGUUGCCGACACAUUGCCGACACGUAAAAAGGAAAAUCUGCGAGACUCAUACCCGUGACCGUAAUUAAUCGCGGAUUUUGGAUCAGCCAGCUUGGAUCAGCCAUGAACAUCAUUCACACCGUGAUCCUAUCUGCCGUGUUUCUCGGCGCGU